UACGUAGGGUGCGAGCGUUAAUCGGAAUUACUGGGCGUAAAGCGUGCGCAGGCGGCUUUGCAAGACAGAUGUGAAAUCCCCGGGCUCAACCUGGGAACUGCAUUUGUGACUGCAAGGCUAGAGUACGGCAGAGGGGGAUGGAAUUCCGCGUGUAGCAGUGAAAUGCGUAGAUAUGCGGAGGAACUCCAAUGGCGAAGGCAAUCCCCUGGGCCUGUACUGACGCUCAUGCACGAAAGCGUGGGGAGCAAACAGG
rnacentral:rRNA from 1 species